AGCGCGGGGAAACCGUGGGAUUGUGGACGGAAGUUGCAGCUUAAUUAAUAAAUCGUCAUCUAUUGUUGUUGUGUCAAUUGAGCCCAUGAGUCAGUCACUAGACUGAUUAAUCUUGAGAAGCGGACAGCACAGGUCACAACAAGGACAAGACUGCUAUUUUGUUGUAAAGAAGUGUUCAAAAAUGGUUUAUCUCUGGUUAUCUUUUCUUCUAACAUUCACAACAUUGUUCCAGACAG